UACGUAGGGGGCAAGCGUUUGUCCGGAUUUAUUGGGCGUAAAGAGCGUGUAGGCGGCCAUGUAGGUCCGUUGUGAAAACUCGAGGCUCAACCUCGAGACGCCGAUGGAAACCAUGUGGCUAGAGUCCGGAAGAGGAGACUGGAAUUCAUGGUGUAGCAGUGAAAUGCGUAGAGAUCAUGAGGAAGACCAGUGGCGAAGGCAGCCCCCUGGGAUAACACUGACGCUCAUGCACGAAAGCGUGGGGAGCAAACAGG
rnacentral:rRNA from 1 species